UUGAAAUCUUAUGGAUGUUGUAGGUGUGUUUUAGUUUUCUUCAUUGGAGUCUUACAGCAAGCAUCUGGUAGACAGAGAAGGAGAAAGAAGUAUGGUACACACCUUUCAAACGCCAGACGACAUUGGUCUUUUCCCUCUCUUCUCCUCCCUGCUUGACAAACCGCUGGUUCAGAAUUUGGGUACAUUUACAAAUCACCGUGGAGUUGGUCUAAACUUGGCGAGGUUGCCCUAAAGCCAGAGCAGGAGGUGUGCCAGCCAGGCGGGGCAGUGCAGUACCCAGAAUAGUAAGCUGAGCUGAGGGAGCAGGUCUGUGGAAUCUGGUAGUGUAACAGCCACAGGGCUGUACUGCUUUCAAGACACUUAGGUCCACAGAGUACUAAAUUUAGUCACACAGAUUUAUUGCUGCAAACUUGGUCAAAAGUAGGUCUUUGUACGAUGCUUCACAGAACAAGGCAAACAUUCCCAUCCCUUUUUUUUUUUCCAUGGUUUUAUUACUGUUAUUCUAUUUUGCCUUCUCUCUAAAUCAGAUGCAGAUUGAAAUGAAAAGAUCAUUCAUCCAUUAAAUAGAUCAGUGGAACAGUAGCAUUCACCAUGGGUUUUUACCUGGUUUACUGGUUGGUUGAUAAUGUAAUUACUCUCUGCAUAGUGGCCAAAAACGAGCAGGCAUGUGGAUCAAGUUUCCAAAGAGUUUUCCAUAGAUUCAGUAAAUGAGGCAGUAACACAUGGGUAAUCUCCUAAUUCUCAUUGCUUUUGAAAGGCUAGUUCUUCUGUUGAUACCAUCUUCUAAGUUUUGAGCAAGCAUAACUGUACUAAGAGAAAAUUAUUUCUUUCUCUGGCCUACUUUGCUUUUCACACACAGUACAAAGGGAGAUUCUGGCUACUCAUAAAUAUCUUGCUGAGUGCAGUGAGGUAUACUGCCUGUCAAAGCAGUGUCACUCCAUGGUGAGUUACAAAAAAGUGAUAAAUUGGCUUUUGUUCUUGCAAUAUGCCUUUUACCUUUCCCCAAACAGGAACUCCCACCUCAUUUUGCAUAUGUUUUUACUGUGGAUGGAGCCAAGCCCAGAUACUCACUGCAGAAGUGAUCAUGAGUUCUUUAUUUCAGGUUGCUUUAAACUUGAGAAAGGUUGAGAAAAUAGUUCCAAAAGACCAUGCAACUCCACUCAGUAAAGGAGCAAAGACAACUCAAAAUAAAGGAAAGGAAAAUACAUUUAGUCUGAUUAUUUGUUUUGGUAGUUGAAAGUUAAUUGUAAUUAUGCCUAAUGCCUUAUGAAAAUAUUGCCCUACAGCCGGUUGAAGUAGGCCACUCUUGAAAUAAUGAAGACAUAGUAACAUGAGAUAAUGCUGCUAUGCAUACUCCUAAAUCUGUCCUGAGCAGUGAGGAAGAUCCAUCUUUCCUUGUGCAAACAGUGGCUUGCUCUGGUUAAGUGCUAAAUAUAGUAACACAGCUUCAGCUCUGCUGUCUCCAUCUAGGUCUUUGAGGACAGUUGCCUUUACUGCAUGCAAUGUGGCAACCCAGGUGCUGACCUGCUUUGCACAAUGGUGAAGAAAAGAUGGGAGCCAGUGCCCUUUUUUGCACAGUACGGUUGCAUAAGCCAACUUCCUGCAACUCUCUGCCAGCUUCACAUCUGGAUGCUCUGGACACCGGAGGAGCAGCCAGCACUGAGGAGCCUCAAGGUUCAUAAACUGCAACUGGUGAAACUGGAAUUCAGAAGGACAACUGAGAUGAGAGGACAUUAAGAGACUUUCACUGAAGCAUGUGUCACAGCAGAGAAGUGAGCACAAGGCCUCCUCUUCCACAUCACUGUUAAGUCAUCAUCUAUCUAUUCACCCUGACUACACAUGAGGGACACUGCCAACCCAGCAAAAUGCACUGGCAAUUUUCUGCUCCUCAAAAAAAGCCACAAAAGCAAUGUUGAGACCAGUGGUUGGCACCAGGAGAAAAUCAAACAGCCUCAGUCUGCCAGACGAGAUAACAACACACGGGGAAGGUGUGGAAAGCAUUGUUAAAAUGGCUGGGAAUGUUCAAAGUGAAGAAACUGGAUAAUUAUCAACAUAAGACCUGAUUGUCCUGUUGUACUGGUUUUAUGAUAGCAUAACUGCUGACUGUGAAAGAGUUGCUUCUGAUUCAGACUGAAGUAAGCACUUCGUGAACAUCGUGAUGAGAACCAUCAGAAGGUCUGAGCUUGCUCUUGAUCCUGGUACACCUCUGUGUAUCUGAGUCAUGAACUGUCAUGAGAGUCAAGACUUGAGAAUCCUUGAAUCUUUGUCACCCACUCUUCUGACUAGACAAACCAAACCUGUGCUCCAGUUGCUUCCUGCAGGGGCACUACUUAAGCUUUUUCUGAGAAUACUUGUGACUGAAGUACACUUUCUUUAUUCCUUUGCAAUGCAGAACAUAGCCAUGGCCAGUGAGUUACUUCAUCUGGCUCCUUGCUCUUAGUGCCGCUCUUGUACCAACACCAGUGCUGAGCAAGCACAUUCAAGUGACGCAGCAGAUCAUACUUUCAGGUGAGGUGCUUCAUAAUUCCAUCUGUUAUCAUAUCAAUGUCCAUGUCACCCCAGAAGAGGCAGCAGCAGGCACAAGUGUGUGUCAGAUGAAAGUAGUAUACUUAGUAAAAUGCAGACUUUUAUUUGUUUUUAUCUUUCAUCAGCUUUUGAGAGAAGUUCUGUGGCUACAGUUAUACCAGCACCCUAGAAAGACAUAAAUAUUCUGCCCUGUUUAGAAGUCUUACAGUAAGGGCCUUCUGCUUGCCUCCAGGACAGCUGCUUGUGUUGAGCAGCAGUAAUAGCUACGCCUACAGAUAGCCCUGCCAUUUUAGUGGUGAAAGCGCUGAUGGAUGUCAUGACAGUCUUUCAACUUCUCCCUCUUGGUUCUGUCUGAUGGACCAUAAAUUAAAAGAACUAGUCAUCCAUAAAGUGCCAUUGUCAAAUUCUACACCUACUGCAACAAUCUGAACUGGUUCUUGUAUUUUAAGGAGAAAUUUCCUCCAAUAAUUUAAUAUGAACUAUUCUAGUCCUUUGUGCCUCGCUAGCAACACAUUAAAUAACACCUAUAACAAAUGCAGCUUCAACUGAAAAUCAGCACACAUUGAAUGUGUCAUAAAGACAACUAAGAUUUUCAUUUCCGCUUUAAAAAGCCAGAAAUCCUAUGGUUUGUGUAUUUUUGAGUUGCAGGCACAUCCCGAGGCAAAUAACUCAACCAAAGGAUUUCCAAGAGCCAGCUCUUAUCUAGAGGGCAUGAAAUGGAAGUGUUAAUAGCACCAAUAUAUAGGUGUCAGUGUCACUGCAAUAAUUGCACUACAAGUCAGAGGCUGACACCUUCAUAAAAGAAAGUGUCAAAACAGUAGAAAUCAAGGCUAUGAGAUUUUCUUCACUUACGAAAACAGGCCUUGAACAUUGAAAUGUUCAACUGAAAUUUGCUUCUAUAUUUAAGAUGAAAAUUAAAACUGACCUAUUUUCACUAAGAAAAAUGCAUGGAAUUGUCAUGUCAGCAUCAUCAGGACAGACAUUAAGAGAGUAAGUGCAGUAGGCUUAUCUAUCCCAGGUGACAAGCACUCAUGGUCUGCGAGCCACCUAGUCCCACGGAGUUAAGGCUCUGUCUUACUAUGGAACAAAGACAUUUGCAAUGUUUCAGAAUUGACCACAAUGCUUUGGACUUCAAGAAUGAUAGUCUGAAGAUCUGAUAAUAAGUGAGUGCAACUAAAAGAAGAACCCAAAUCAGAAUUUCUUUGAAAUGUUUUGAUUUUUAUAAAGCAGCAAAAGUCAACAGGUUUAGGACUGAUAUCUGCCUUCAGUAAAUCUUUCACUUACUUCACUUCACUAAAAUUUGUAGUUUAUUUUGUGUCACAACAAAGAAAUUAAUCACUCUCAAAUAGUAUAAGUAAGUGGAAAUUAGGAUCUUAGCCCAAUCUGAAGUCAAAUCACUCUUGUUAGCAAUAUGACUAAGUAUGUGUGAUUUUCUGAUCUUCUCAAAGCAAAAUGAAUAUGAAGGACAGAGACAGAUUAUUUGUCUGAUCAUUUCACCUGAUCUUUGAUGCAAGCAUUGAUUUCUGUAUGGCAGUCCUUGGCAUUCAGUUCUUUGGUCUCUGCAAAUCAGAAUUCAUAAACAAUGGUAAUUUCCUCCAAUGUAGGGAAAUAAAUCAUGGGACAGAUGGGAUGAUCAGUCGUGAUCAAGAGAUAAAAGUAGAAAAAACCUGGAUAAGUUUUCACUCUCAGCAAACACAGCCGCUGAGAGAAGGGAGCAUGUUCUAGUUCCCUGCUUAACUCCACUUCCUUGGGUGGCAAGCUGCAAUGGCAUCACAACAGCCAAAGGCACGGAGUACAAAUACAGGGAGCACUCUCUAAGGCCAAGUCUUGUGUCUAUGAUCUGGUAACUGUACUGUUCCCACAAAGUUGCCAAUAGAAGCAAGCAGCUUUUUUAGCGGUUGACAAUAUAGGCAGAAGGAGGAAGAAGAGGAGGUAAGCAGCUUGUGAGAGAAAGUAUAAAGAAGGAGGGGAAAAAGAGGGAAAUAAGCAGGAAGGUGGAAGAGAAGGGUUGAAGGUUUGCUGCUCAGCAUGCUGGAGCAUAAUGAAAUCAACAAGUCCUGGGCAUCGCUUCCAACACCCACAUGGGCAUGCUCCAGGCCUGUCUUCUUUACUUCCCCCUGGCUGGCUGCUGAGUUAAUAAGAGAUCUUUUCUUCAUUGCCUUUUAUUUCACUCUUGGUUCCUGGAGUUGCAACAGCUGAAGACGGGUAACAGUUACAAACACAAGUCCAUCUCUAGUGUAAAAGAACUGACUUGAGAUAUGCUAGCAUUAAGCUUUUCUUGCUUUCAGAGCAAUUUUGAAAAGGUCUUCACAGGCAGACAUCCAUCUGCAGAACAUGUUUGUGUCACAACAAAGAAAUUCGUUAAGUGAGUUAAGUCACUGAUGCAUGUGUUUAGUGUGCUAGUCUAUGUACACCAUCUCCCAGAAACACCAGCAAAAGUAUAAACUAAGUUUAUGAGGGGGCUUGCUUCCCUGGUCGGUUAGCUGAUGACUUUUUCAUGUAUGUCCCUGCUCAGAAAAAUGCAGACACUCCUCACCCCAUUACUGUGCACUGUACUUGAUGAGUGCUGAUGAAAAGAUGACUCUUUUAUUUAAGACUCUAGAGGAUGUUGAGCUGUUUCAAAAAUUGAGGGAAUUCUGUUGAAGGCUAAUUCAGUCAGAUUGGAACCCAUGAGAUGUCAAUUUUCAUUCAAGUCUCACCCAUGCAAUUCAAGAAACCAUUGCCAAGAACAUUGAUUAGCGCAGAAAUGGGGGAGCAGCAGAAGUGUAGUACAUUUUGCAUGUACGAAAGGCAAUUCUGGCCUCUGCAAUGUGGAGCAGAUUGAUGCUUUGUGUGAAGGUGACACCAUCGAAAGCGGCAAAUGGAGAACUGCAGGUGUAACUCCUCACUCCCCAAACCCUGCUCUGUUACAGCACUAGUGAAGUACAAUUUACUUCUGGAUGUAUUUCUGAAAUGAGAAGUUGCUCUUACAUUUGAAUAUGUGUUAGAAAAGAAAGCUGUAAAUGGAAAAAACUCCCUAAUGUGCCUCUAUGCUGCAAAUGGCCAUCACAUUAGCUUCCAAGGAUGUAAUUAAGUUUCGGCUCAGUCUGUCUUAUAGCCAAAAAUUCAAUGCUGAGGUUUAUUUUAAUUUAACCUUUUUCCCCAGCUCUGAAUAUUGCAUUGUUUAGUUCUGCAGAUGAAAAAAAUGCUGUAAGUACCUAGGUACAGUUUAAAAAAAAAAAUUUCCACAGAUUUUCACAGAAGUGCAAGUGGAUAUUCUGUUAGUUGGUGUAUUUACAUUUGGGAUUUUGUCUGGCUUUCACAUAUCUCAGCACCUCAUAAGGAUUACUCAAUUUAUCUUUACAAAACCAAGUGAUGCAGCCUGGUUGCCUUGGGCCUCUGUGUUCAGCCUAUCCUUUAUAGUAACUUCUGCCUUUCUUGUCAUUUGUUGCCUUCUGCACCUUAGCCAAUGCACAAUUUUAGCAGGAUUUAUUCACUACAAACAAAUUAAGCCUCUGUCAACAUUCCUGUAAGACAGGGGAGAGCUCUCACUCCUAACAGUCAGAGACACUGAACAAUUUCUCCAAGAUCAGAAAGAACAUCCAUGGUCAAGGGAAGAGUUAUCUUAUCUCUCCUGGAUCUCAGUCCAGUGUUUUAACCACAGAACUUUGUUACCCCAGUAAAUAAUCAGUAAGCCAACAAAGCAUGAAGGGAAGAUAUUGUAAGUCACCUUCCCCAGCGUUGACUGUACCGGUACCUCUUAGGCAAAGGAGAACAUUACGGAUGACCAUGUGGGCUACACAUUCUUUUAAAUGGUGUCACACCUUCAGAACAGUUAACUGAAUGUAUAUUUACUGCCACAUGCCUAUAUGAAGUUCUGCCCUAAAUAAACUAGUAGCAUCAAUCCAAUACAAAGUAGAUAAGUGAUCAAGAUGCAGAAGUUACCAUCGGAGCUGGUGCAUGUUGGCACUGGUCACUAAAGAGGCUGGGAUGUGUGUAUUACGCAAAGUGGUAAUCACAAACAACAUGCCAGGGCAGAGUGCAGAAGGCUGCACCUAUGUGGCCAGCGUCACAGCUUUCAAUGCAUAAGUAGAAGAUUACAGUUUCAUGGACCAGGAAGUAGUAGCAUAAAUUUCAGUCCAGUAGAAAAAGGAGAAGAAUUAAAGAAACAAACCAAACAGGGCAAAUCAAAACUAGGGAGUGACAAAGGUAGUGAGUUUCCCAGAACUGCAUACAAUGAUAGUUAGGCACUAGCAAUGUAAAAAAAGCAUUCAUUUCUUGAAAAUAAUUUGAAAGCAAACAAAUGUUCUUUGACCCAUAGAGUGCUGCUGCCAAGAUCCGUAUACAAAAUAUUCAAUUGAUUUGCACAACGGUGAACAGUUGGCAUUUUGUUUUCCUCUAAUUAGACUGUUCCAAACCUGAAUACAAAUCUUGAGUCCUCCAGCUUCAAUAUGUUUUCCCUCUGCAUGCUUUAGUUUCUCAUGCCCGUGUUAUUUAAUGGUCUCUGCCCUUGCUUCCUUCUAAACUUUGGUCUUUUUCAAAUCAUGUAGAAGAUGCAUCAUCUCCAGUAGAAAAAUCUUUAGCCAUCUCAUUCAUUCCAAACAAUUACUAUCCGAACAGAUAGUAGUAGUUAAAUCAGUAUGAGAUCCACUGACCUCAAAAAAAAUAUAGAACUCUUAUACCAGCUGAAAUGCAAUCCUAUGUUUUGAGACAGUAUCAAAUAAUAUUUCCUAAUCAACAUGGCAUUUAGCAUUUCCAGCCUUGGUUCAAGUAUUUGACCUAUUCUUUUGUGGCUUGAAGGGUUGCAGAAGUUCAACAUUUAUUGUGAUUUUGAUGUAGCAAUACCCAAAGGCCUCUACUAGAAUCAGGAUCCUGUUCUUUUUGGUGCUUUUAAAUGUGCAAGAAAAGGAAAUGGGUCAGUAAAAACCUUACAAUCAAAUGAGUAGGCAAAGCUACCAGGCUUGUUCUAAUGAGGGAACUGGGAAGUGUACCAACAGUGCAUUUUCCAUUCCAUUUCGUAAAAUGGAAAGGAGUAGCAAAAUCUGCAGCUCUUUUAAGUAAUUAUGUAUGUGUACCCCAAAAACAGAGCUUUUUACUACAACUCAGCAGACUGAGUAGAAAACAUCUAUGUAAAAAAUACAAAUUAAAAUCCUUGCUCUCUCUGGAAUUGUCCAUUCAGAUUCUUAUAAAGAAUGCUGUAGCAAAAUAAUUGUAGCUGCAAACAGAAAAUCUUGUCAGUGUAAAAUACAAGGAAAAGGUCUGUAUUUAGAUGAGAGAGAGACACAGUUAUGAAGGAACUUCGUCUGAGAUCUGUCAGGUGCCCCUGGCAUUGCCAAGGUACCCACUGAUCUGCAGGCCAGUACAACAGCAACAAGAUCACCCUCUCAGUCUUUUUAGAGAUGUAGGCUAGAAGGAGCAGACAGCAUCAAGAAAAUUUUACACAGACAGGCAACUCUUUUUCAGGUGUUUUUACCUGGAUGCUAGUAGCAUCAAAUACAUCUGUAGCCCAUCCCCAUCAUACAAUAAAACAAGCAGCUGAUUUUCCUUUUUGUAAUUUUGCAUGUCAGUGUAGCUUGAUUUAUAUACAGGAAAACAAGAAGACCAUUAAGGAUGAAAAUAAUUGAACAUAAGGGCAAUGAGGAAGACUGAUGUAAACUCAUCUCAUAAAAUGAUUUUUCUCUUCUUACAAUCCUUACUACUUGUUUGAGAUUUAUGAGCUCGAAGAAAUCAUAAAACUAUGGGUGUAAAGAGACAGGCUAUUGGAAAGAAGAGGAAGAAGACUUAGAUCUUUAUUUUAGCCUUUGCACCCAAAGGGCACAGAAACAAUGAUCCUCUGUGUUAUUUUUCAUUUUCAAAGGGAUUUGCAUUAUUGCCUAAUUCAUCCUCAUUACCACCCUCAGAGAAAAUAAUAAUGUUGUAAUGUGGUUACAACAAAGGCUUUGGACAAUUUGUUCCAACAGUUUCACUAUAACAGUAAAUAAAACUACAAUCUACUUAUUGCCUGUAAUAAUCUAAAUCACUCUACCUACAAUACCAUAUUUUAUACAAAUGAGGGUUUGAUAGGUUUGGGUUCUGAGCAUUUUGUCCUACGGCCUACUAAAAUGUGAACAAGUCAUGUCUAAAUCAAUGAGAUAUCAGUUCAUCAGGUAAUUUAAGUAUAUGCUUGGCUUCAAGUCAUGUACUUGAUUUAAACUGUAGCCUCUUGAAAGCAUUUUUCCACGUCAUCUGAAGGACAGAGAAAAUUCAGCAGAAAGAUUAGGAAAAUUGUAUGGAAGUAUUUCAUAGCAGAUGAACAUUGCUACCUGACUCAGUUGCAGGGAUAGAGAGAGGCCCUGGGACAAAAGGUGCAGGGGUAACAUGCACCUCUCUUAGCUGUAAAUGAUUACAGCGUAGACAUGCACUUCAAAACUACUCUUUAGGGUCUCUCUGUAGUGAACAGAGAAAGAAACUUCUCUAAGUGCAGCUGUGAUCAAUCUCAUCCUAAGGUAGAUAGCAGGACAGAAAAAAAAUCAAUCAUGACCUUUAGUCACCUCUUUCUCUCCACCUUUUAUGAAGGAAGUUAUCCCAAAGGCAGGCACUUAACACUGCAGUCCUCUAACAUUAGGUGAGAUUAGAUCCCUUUCAUUGUCCCCAGGAGGAAGCUCUUCUGCAAAGACAUGGAAUCAUAUUUGUAUUUUUUCUUGAAAUAGUCUCAGAUUCUACUUUUGCCUCUAGUCAUCCAUCCUACUUAGGACCCAUCCUCUCAAUUCUCUGCCUUCAAAGAUCCUCAAAUGUGAGCCUGACAUUGGCGAUGUGUACUUGCCCAUUCUUUCUUUUGUGACAGUGGUGCUACUGUAACAACUGCAGCAGCUGAAUACCAGAUGUGUCCUCAGUGUUCAGCCAGGAAUUCUGCGGCUGCAAGAAAAUGUAGUAAAAUAUUCAGAAGCAAAACGAUCACCAAAGCCAAUGAGGUGCAGCACGACUUGUAUGGAUCUAUAGUCUUCAGUAUCAAAAAAUACAAUUCUGUCAAUAAAUAAAUGAA